rnacentral:rRNA from 1 species
UACGUAGGGGGCUAGCGUUGUCCGGAAUCAUUGGGCGUAAAGAGCGCGUAGGCGGCCAGAUAAGUCCGGUGUGAAAGUCACAGGCUCAACCUGUGAAUGCCGCUGGAAACUGUCUGGCUAGAGUCCGGAAGGGGCGAGUGGAAUUCCUGGUGUAGCGGUGAAAUGCGCAGAUAUCAGGAGGAACACCGGUGGCGAAGGCGGCAUCCUGGACCGGCAUUGACGCUGAGGCGCGAAAGCUAGGGGAGCAAACGGG